UAAAAGAUAAGCUAAAUUAAAUAAGCUUACAGGUUCAUACCCUGUUAAUAGAUAAAUUCUUCUUUUUG
rnacentral:tRNA from 1 species